CAGGAUUUUCGGUUAGGGGGGCGCAAACUUAAAUUUCCGCCGAGCGGAGCGAGGCGAAAUUUUUUUUGAUGUAUUAUUAUCGAAAUUAUUGAAAUAUUCUUCUAGAGAGGGUGCUAUGUAGAUAUCUUGACAAGCGUGGCGAGAAAUAAAUAUUUUGUGGUAAAAGUAGCGAGAAAUUUAAGUUUCAAGCUAAACCCGCAUAAAUCCAC
rnacentral:lncRNA from 1 species